GUAAACCUUAUCUUUUUUAUAAAUUGAAUAUUGCUAGAAAUAUCAUCUUACACAAUUCUUAUCAAUUCAAGCUGGGAAGUACCUUACCUACCUAAAUAAGUUCGACAGUGCGCAAAAUAUACAACUGAGAUGAUUAUAGGAAUAGGUACGGCUACAUUUCAAUCUUAAUACAUUGUUACAAUAAUUGAAUAUCUUUUUUCAUUUUAUUUUUCGUUUACUAAAUCAAAGAUCCAAUAAAUUUUUCCAUUGAUUUGUUUCUUGUUCACUCAAUCAGAGCAUCAAAAAAACCAAAGAGUAACACUUAAUUGAAAUGUUUUAUACUUGAUGUGAAAAAAUCAUCAAAAUGCGCAGACAUACCACGAAACUGUUGCAAGUUUUAUUGUAAAAAAGAAUUUAGCGGUAUCAAAAGACAAUCAGUACUUAGAUAUAAUUCAAAGAUAGGCCAAUUACCAAUUUUUUUAAGUGAGCGAUGAACUUUGCAUCUCUCUAUAAAAACACUGCUCUGCCGAAACGUCUUUUCGUUAAAGUGAUUUAUUGGACAGCUAGACGAAUGCACUUUUCGUGAUUCACUGACAGUAAGUAUACUGUGAUUAAGGUGAUGAUUGAUGAUUAUAUUACAAACAAAUUGCUAUGGUGUACUUAUGUCUUAAGAAACACUUUUCCCUUCAACGAUUUUGUAAACAUUUUUUUUGAAGGGUUUUCUUUUUCAUUUAUUUCGAUUUUCUCACAUCAGAUUGCGAGAAAUUGAAGAUAACUUAUAUCUUCGGUAUUUUGUUUAUGAAACCAAUGACCUCUAGAUUCUGAAGAAAUGUGGAGAUAAUACGAUAAAUGUAUAUUUUAGACACAGAAAUUGCAUAUUGGGGUUUAUGACUUCAAAAAAUCCCCUUGUUCGGGUGUUCACCGUAAACGUCUUUAUUGAAUCUUGCAUUGUCUGAAAUGCAUGUAUAAAUAAUAAGAGAUUCUUUUUAAAAUUCAUUAGUUGACAAUCUAUUAAGCUUCGUUAACCUAGCUUAUCAGCAACACAUCCCAAUUCGUAGGCUCAACAAUGUUGACAAAAAUUCUUGUUCUUUUAUUUUGUGUUGGUGUUGUUUUAGCCUUCACAUUUGACACCGACAAAUUUGAAGAUAUCUCCAGACCGGAGAAUUACAUUCAAAGACUCCAAGAACCUUUUAGAGAAAAACGUUACUUCGGCAAUCCUGGAUAUAACUCAGGUACUGAUUCCGAAUAUAACUGGCAGAAAUUAAGGAUAGCUCGUUCUAUACACCGAGGAGGGCAAAAUGGCAAUAAACGACAAGAAAAUAGUAACUACAAAAAAUUUCCACAUGGUUUUUGAAAACAUAAACAAAAAUAAAAAAGCAAAACACGAGUGUUCUUAUUUUAAAGUUUAAAA